CCUACGGGAGGCAGCAGUGAGGAAUAUUGGUCAAUGGACGAGAGUCUGAACCAGCCAAGUAGCGUGAAGGAUGACUGCCCUAUGGGUUGUAAACUUCUUUUAUAAAGGAAUAAAACGAGGCACGUGUGCCUUUUUGCAUGUACUUUAUGAAUAAGGAUCGGCUAACUCCGUGCCAGCAGCCGCGGUAAUACGGAGGAUCCGAGCGUUAUCCGGAUUUAUUGGGUUUAAAGGGAGCGUAGAUGGGUUGUUAAGUCAGUUGUGAAAGUUUGCGGCUCAACCGUGAAAUUGCAAUUGAUACUGGCAGUCUUGAGUACAGUUGAGGUAGGCGGAAUUCGUGGUGUAGCGGUGAAAUGCUUAGAUAUCACGAAGAACCCCGAUUGCGAAGGCAGCUUACCAACCUGUGACUGACAUUGAUGCUCGAAAGUGUGGGUAUCAAACAGGAUUAGAUACCCCGGUAGUC
rnacentral:rRNA from 1 species